rnacentral:rRNA from 1 species
CCCCUAGAUGUUCUGGGCAGCACGCGCGCUACAAUGGUCUUCGCAAACGGAUGCAUUCUCGAAGGAGAAUGCCGAUCUUGGAAUCUAUGCCUUGGUCGGGACAGUUGCUUGCAAUUUUUCGACUCGAACCAGGAAUUCCUUGUAAUCGUGAUUCAUCACAUCACGAUGAAUACGUCCCUGCCCUUUGUACACACCGCCCGUCGCUCCUACCGAUCGAAGAGUUAGGUGAAUUGUUUUGAUCGAUAAGAUUUGACUAUGGUCAACUCUCGUUGUGAAAUUCUGUGAAUCUGACUGUUUAGAGGAAGGAAAAGUCGUAACA